UACGGGGGGGGUAAGCGUUGUUCGGAAUUACUGGGCGUAAAGGGCUCGUAGGCGGCCAACUAAGUCAAACGUGAAAUCCCUCAGCUUAACUGGGGAACUGCGUCCGAUACUGGAUGGCUUGAGUUUGGGAGAGGGAUGCGGAAUUCCAGGUGUAGCGGUGAAAUGCGUAGAUAUCUGGAGGAACACCGGUGGCGAAGGCGGCAUCCUGGACCAACACUGACACUGAGGAGCGAAAGCCAGGGGAGCAAACGGG
rnacentral:rRNA from 1 species